CCAACGGAUGAAAUUAUUAUAUGGAAAGUUGUUGGGGAGUUUUAUCAUGGAAGGGUCAGGCUGUCACCGCCUGAGCCCACUGGUUAAUCUUAGCACUGCUAUGUGUGUCUCCUGAUGUGGUGUCAUGUGACAGCCCCGCCUAUCAAGUGUCUGCCUUUGCUUGGAUUCCCUCAAAAAAGCAGACCCUAGGAAAAGGAUUUGGGUUCAGGUAGUUUAUCUGGGAGAUGAUCAGAGGAAGUACCUUUAAGAGAGUGGGGAGGUGAGGCAGGGAAGGUAGAAACCCAAUAAAAAUGAAUCAAUGAGUGGGAUACCACUCAGACAGCUGGGACCCAGUUCUUCUGGGCACCCUCUGAAAUGCUGUGCAGGAUAUAUGUUAGAAACCUCCUCUAAGAGGCAAGGAAGCUGGAAGUGUUGAGCCACCCGCCCCCACACUGCUCUGGUCAAAGAUCGCUCCUGGGGUAUUAAUACUCCGGCUCCUCUCAGGACCAGAGAAUGCCCUCAGGAUGCAAGACGCAGAAGGGCACUGGGGGGACUCUGAACUUCCACUGCAGGGGGCACUGGUUCGAUCCCUGGUUGGGGAACUAAGAUCCUGCAUGCUGCGUGGUGCGGCCAAAAAAAAAAAAAUGAAGGGCAUUGGUACAGCCCGUCUGCAAGUGGCCUCCAGGAUUGGCCAAGAGGAGCUGGCCAGGCACCAAUGCCAGCUGCUCUGGUGCCUUGCCGGAAGAGUUGACUUCUAGUGACAGGAAAUCCUGGGGAUGGAGGGACAAGGUGAAUGAUACACACAGAAGCAGAUAGACAAACCCAGAAUGGAGGACAUCCUACAGGACAAAUGAUUUCUUCAACAUGCUGUUCUCUGAGCUGGUUACCACUGGGGGCAACGGGCCGAAUCCCAUUGGAGCCCCUCUGAGGACCCACGAGGAGCAGGCCUUGGAGAUGUGCCUCUUAAGGCCAGAAGCUGAGGCGUUUAUCCAGGACUCCCGUCCCCCACGGUGGAAGCUAUAAAAGCACUAAUUUUCCUGGAGGUAAAGUGGAACCUCUGAUUGACGUGAGGAAGUGGGGAAAAUAAAAGCAAAAUAGUUACUUCGAGAUGUGCUUGUGUUGCCUUCCUCCAUGUCUAUGGCAGUUUAACUUGAGAAUCAGCUUGUCAAAUUCCAUUAAAAAAAUACCUUCCAGGGCUUCCCUGGUGGUGCAGUGGUUAAGAAUCCACCUGCCAAUGCAGGGGACACGGGUUCGAGUCCUGGAUCAGGAAGAUCCCACAUGCCGCAGAGCAACUAAGCCCAUGCGCCGCAACUACUGAGCCUGCACUCUAGAACCCGCGAGCCACAACUACUGGAGCCCGCGCGCCUAGAGCCCGUGCUCAGCAACAAGAGAAGCCACCGCAACGAAGAGUAGCCCCCGCUCGCCGCAACUAGAGAAAGCCCACAUGCAGCAAAGACCCA